rnacentral:rRNA from 1 species
UACAGAGGUGGCAAGCGUUGUUCGGAAUUACUGGGCGUAAAGCGUGUGUAGGUGGUUUGCUAAGUCAGGUGUGAAAUCCCUGGGCUCAACCUAGGAAUUGCAUUUGAUACUGGCGAGCUAGAGUGUGGAAGAGGAUAGUGGAAUUCCCGGUGUAGCGGUGAAAUGCGUAGAUAUCGGGAGGAACAUCAGUGGCGAAGGCGGCUAUCUGGUCCAACACUGACACUGAGACACGAAAGCGUGGGGAGCAAACAGG